rnacentral:rRNA from 1 species
UGGGGAAUAUUGGACAAUGGGCGCAAGCCUGAUCCAGCCAUGCCGCGUGCAGGAUGACGGUCCUAUGGAUUGUAAACUGCUUUUGUACAGGAAGAAACAGUUCUACGUGUAGAACCUUGACGGUACUGUAAGAAUAAGGAUCGGCUAACUCCGUGCCAGCAGCCGCGGUAAUACGGAGGAUCCAAGCGUUAUCCGGAAUCAUUGGGUUUAAAGGGUCCGUAGGCGGUUAGAUAAGUCAGUGGUGAAAGCCCAUCGCUCAACGGUGGAACGGCCAUUGAUACUGUCUGACUUGAAUUAUUAGGAAGUAACUAGAAUAUGUAGUGUAGCGGUGAAAUGCUUAGAGAUUACAUGGAAUACCAAUUGCGAAGGCAGGUUACUACUAAUGGAUUGACGCUGAUGGACGAAAGCGUGGGUAGCGAACAGGAUUAGAUACCCUUGUAGUCCCUGAGCGGGCUGGCAAGGCGCAU